rnacentral:lncRNA from 1 species
CUGUGACAGUUUUAGACACUGGCUGUGAACAAUACUGUCGAAUCUCUCAUAAAAGUUUAAACGAUUCCAAGAUUGAGUUGACUAUUCGACAGGUAAGGAGGGAUGACGAGGGACGAUAUUACUGUGACAUAAAAGGUUCUCGGACUCUCAAGUUUCGAGGAAAGGGUACACUUCUCCAAAUUAAAGGUGAGAAUUCAAUAAACUGCAGACACUAAUUUAGGCCAAACUCAUACGUCAUUAAUAUAUGCCAAUAGGUCUGUUGAGCAAAUUGGACUAUGGAGUAGGCCUGAGGGCAAGGAUAUAUCGAAAAUGGGCAAAGAGAAAUAUUUCUUUCAGUCACUGGAUUAAAGUAACCUAAUCUCAUCUGAUACAUGAAAUGGCAUUUCAGAGUCUGAGACCGGGACCAACAGGAGUGAGGUGAUGUUGUUGAGAGAAUUCGAGAGCUCCAUGAUGAAACCAGCUUUAGAGAAACACCGAACAUCUGUGCUAUGUUGCCUUGUGACCGCUUUGCCCACUCCGAAUAUCAUCAUCACUUGGCAUUCAUCCCAUGGACGGGUGGAAGCCGGUCAGACCUGGGUAUCUGACGCUAACGAAAGGUUCACUGCAGGAAGCCGACUACAAAUAAACGUGACGACUGGCAAGGAUUCCCAAAUUUCCCCAAAUGCCGAGGAGCACAGGGAGGAGUGGUGGUGUGAGGUGCAUCAGGGAGAUUUCACAUUGAGAAGUGACACGUCUU